rnacentral:rRNA from 1 species
UCCCAGACUCCUACGGGAGGCAGCAGUGGGGGAUAUUGCACAAUGGGGGGAACCCUGAUGCAGCGACGCCGCGUGGGUGAAGGAGCGUUUCGGCGCGUAAAGCCCUUUCAGCAGGGAAGAAAAUGACGGUACCUGAAGAAGAAGCCCCGGCUAACUACGUGCCAGCAGCCGCGGUAAUACGUAGGGGGCAAGCGUUAUCCGGAUUUACUGGGUGUAAAGGGGGCGCAGACGGCGAUGCAAGCCAGGAGUGAAAGCCCGGGGCCCAACCCCGGGACUGCUCUUGGAACUGCGUGGCUGGAGUGCAGGAGGGGCAGGCGGAAUUCCUGGUGUAGCGGUGAAAUGCGUAGAUAUCAGGAGGAACACCGGUGGCGAAGGCGGCCUGCUGGACUGCAACUGACGUUGAGGCCCGAAAGCGUGGGGAGCAAACAGGAUUAGAUACCCGUGUACU